CCUACGGGAGGCAGCAGUGGGGAAUAUUGGACAAUGGGCGAAAGCCUGAUCCAGCCAUGCCGCGUGUGUGAAGAAGGCCUUCGGGUUGUAAAGCACUUUCAGUGGGGAAGAAAGCCUUGGGGCUAAUACCCUCGAGGAAGGACAUCACCCACAGAAGAAGCACCGGCUAACUCCGUGCCAGCAGCCGCGGUAAUACGGAGGGUGCGAGCGUUAAUCGGAAUUACUGGGCGUAAAGCGCGCGUAGGCGGUCUGAUAAGCCGGGUGUGAAAGCCCCGGGCUCAACCUGGGAACGGCAUCCGGAACUGUCAGGCUAGAGUGCAGGAGAGGAAGGUAGAAUUCCCGGUGUAGCGGUGAAAUGCGUAGAGAUCAGGAGGAAUACCAGUGGCGAAGGCGGCCUUCUGGACUGACACUGACGCUGAGGUGCGAAAGCGUGGGUAGCAAACAGGAUUAGAUACCCGAGUAGUC
rnacentral:rRNA from 1 species